ACAACAGCUGCACCAACCACAACCAAAGCAGCUCCAAUCACAACAACAGCGGCGCCAACCACAACAACAGCGGCUCCAACCACAACAACAGCUGCACCAACCACAGCAGCUCCAACCACAACAAAAGCUGCACCAACCAUAACCACAGCUGCACCAACCACAACUACAGCGGCUCUAACCACAACAACCGCUGCACCAACCACAACAACAGCGGCUGCAACCACAACAGCUGCACCAACCAUAACAACAGCUGCACCAACCACAACCACAGCUGCUCCAACCACAACAACAGCUGCACCAUCCACAACCACAGCUGAUCCAACCACCACCACAUCAGCUCCAACCAUAACAACACCUGCACCAACCACAACAACAGCUGCACCAACCACAAACAAAGCAGCUCCAAACACAACAAAAGCUGCACCAACCAUAACCACAGCUGCAGCAACCACAACUACAGCGGCUCCAACCACAACAACCGCUGCACCAACCACAACAACAGCUGCACCAACAACUAUAGUGGCUCUAACCACAGCAACAGCUGCACCGACCACAACCACAACCACAGUAGCUACAACCACAACCACAGCCUAUCAACCAGUGCCGGCUACUAACACAACUACGCCUACUACAACUGAAUCUCCUGCUCCAGUUUAUCAUGUUCGAGUGGUUGUUUACGAACCAUUUGAUGAAGAUCUCAAAGAUGGCAAUAGCCAAAAAUUUAAGGAUUUUGCUCAAAGGAUCACAUUAGUAUAUGACAUGCUCUACAGGAAAGCUUUUGGAGCCCGCUUCAUCCGUAGUUAUGUCAUUGCAUUUAGAGUUUCUUUAGCAUCCCAAAUUCGAAUGAAUGUCACAGAAGCAGAAGUUGGCGUGGAGUUUAACAAAACCACUCCACUUGUGGACCUCCCAAAGAACGAAGUAGUACAAAAAACAUUAGCAGAUGCUAUAGAUACAGCCAAUAAUAACACUAUCUUGGAUGUCCCAUUUUCACCUGGUUCUGUCCAAGUAAUAAGCUCGCCUUUGCCAACCACACUGCCCACUACAAAUUCUACAGUCACUACCAUGGCUCCAAACUCAACUACAACUGCUGCAGCUAAACCAACAACCAAAACCACAACUAGUUCAACUACUGCAGCUAAACCAACAACCAAAACCACAACUACAACUACUGCAGCUAAACCAAC